rnacentral:lncRNA from 1 species
UACUUUAUUUUAUUUUAAGCAUACGUAUAAAUAUAUAUCGUAAAAAAAAAAAAUGUUUUUUGAAAUCACUGAAUAUAUUAUAUAACUAUAUGCACACGUAAUCUAAUUCUAAUGGCCUGUUAUCUAAUCGCUCUUAUGGCCUUUAUAUUUUGAUUAUAUUAAGUAUUGAUGCAUUUUAAUUUUAUUAAUCUUGAGUUACUGUUUGGUAAUAUUAUUAAAAUUAGAAAUCUGAAAUGUCACAAUUAGUAAAAAUGAUAAAGCUAAAUAAUGGUCAGCAAUACCCAAUCUUAGGACUUGGCACUUGGCAGGUAUAUAUAUUAUUAGUUACCAUAUCUUGUAUUUUAGUAUGUCUACUUAAAAAUCAUACUAUCUAAUUUUUAAACCUUUUUAAAAAUUCAAUGAUUUCCAUAAUUCACUAUUCUUUUUGAUUCUCUGAUAUAAAAACUUUAUUUUAUCAUGGUGUAACAUUUUAACCUACCUGACUUUUAAAGCCUAUAUAGAUAUAUUUUUAUAAGAAUGUUAUACUUUAUUGUGCUAAAGAAUAAUUCCAUAAUGAUUUUCAUAUAAUUUUUCUUGUUAUUAAUUAUAAUAAACAUUUUUGCAGUCCAAAUCCGAAGUAGAUGAAUCCGAGCAGAUUGAAAUUUAUGAGGCUGUUAAGAGUGCAAUCGAUAUAGGAUACCGUCAUUUUGAUUGUGCUGCUUUUUAUAACAAUGAAAAGUUUGUAGGAAAAGCUAUCGCUGAAAAGAUUAAAGAAGGAGUUAUAAAAAGAGAGGAAAUAUAUAUCACCAGUAAGGUAUGAUGUAGUAUGUUAAAAUUCUCCAAGACUAAAUUUAAAAAAAACACAUAAUUUUUUUAAAAUUUGUUAACCUAUUAUUAUGUUUAAUUAUAUUAAACACAAGAUGUACAUGAGAGCUUUAAGAAUCAUAGAACUAGUUAAGUACCUAUUGAAUUAUUUAAGUUAUAAUAAUAUUUACUUACAUAAAAAUAAAAUCAAAUGGAUUUUAAGUAUAGACAAUUACUACAAAAAAAAAAUGGAUUUUUUAUCCAUUGCAUUUUUAAAUAUUUAUUUCAUUACAAAAAUAUGAUUUGUAACUUUCCAUUAGCAUAUAAAUACCAUGAGCAAAUGUAGUUUUAUAUAUUUUUUCAAUAACACAAUAAUGUACACAACAUAGGUAGACCACACAGUUUUACGAACAGAGCACAAACGACCAACAGUGGAUAUAGUCAAUUGGUUAACAAAAAAAUCAUCUGCUAUUCUAAAUAAUAUUAUUAUUUACCUAUUUAUUUUUCAAAAAAACGAAAUUAUACAAAACAAUCAAACAAUAUUUAUUGUUAUACAAAUUAUAAAUUAAGUACUUCAUAUUAUUAAUUUUGUAAUUGUAACUGUAAGUAUCCAUUUUAUAACCAUUAUUUAACUAUUUAUUAUUUAUUAUUUAAAUUUUAAGCUAAAUUACACAUCACAUUAAUAAAAAUUCAAAAUUCUAUAUCUAAUAACAAUAUUAUAAAAAUAAUUAAUAUAAAUUCAAAACUCAAUAUACCAACAAAACAAUAUUAUAAAGAUAAUUAACAUUUUAGGAAAUUAUAGGUUUAAUUUAAUAGGUUGUUUAACCAGCCUUCUAACUCUUAUAGUUAUUUUAUUUUAAGCCUUUCAAUGCUUCUCAACCACUUCUUUGACUAGAACUGUCUUUACUACCUGACUUUGUUUUUUUCAUCUUCCUUUUUGUCAUAUCUAAUUGUUCAUAAUCUCAACCUUCUUUUCAUUGUUUAUACUAAUAAUUAAAUCAUCAUUAUCUACUUUCCUAUUAAUCUUAAACAUUUCACCCGCUCUCCUAAAAUGUUUUGACAUUAUUUUAAGUCUUCCACUUCUACCUUCUACUAUGUUAACGCUAUCAAUAUGGGGACUGUUAAAUACAUAUAGGCUAGGUAAUAAUUAAUUCAUAAUUAAGAGCUAAAGUAAGUAAGUAAUGGAAAUAACUAAUAAAUAGGAUAUGGAGUUAAAUUAGCUAGACCUACCUAAUUUAAAAUAUUACUUUAUUUAAUAUAUUAAAAUUGUUGUGUCAAAAAAGCUUUGGAAUAAUAAACAUGAACCUGAAGAUGUGGCAGUUUCAUUGAAACAUAGUCUGAAAGAACUUGACUUAGACUAUUUGGACUUAUACCUUAUUCAUUUCCCGUGUGCAACUAAUGUAAAUAACUAAUAUAUUUCAAAAUGUUUAAUAUUAAAAUUAGUAUAAAAUUAUAUUCAUCUUUACCUGUUCUAUAUUUAAGCGAGAUCCAAACGCUACGGAUAGUAAAGGGCGGUUAUUAGGCUCUGAUGUCUCUUAUUUAGAAACAUGGAAAGCUAUGGAACAGUGUGUUCGAUCAGGACUCACAAAAUCAAUAGGAAUUUCAAACUUUAACAUUAAACAAGUGAAGGAUAUUUUAAAAAUAGCAUCUAUAAAACCAGUUGUUAAUCAGGUAAUAAUUUUCCUAAAUCUUGUACAUAAUUGAAACACAAAAAUUGAAAAGU